rnacentral:lncRNA from 8 species
GUUGCUCUCUCCAUGCUUUCUUUGCCAUUCAGCCAUGCUGCUGGUGAAUGUGCCUUCUCCCAGAUGGCAUUGAUAAAAAAAACAAGCUGAGAAACAGAAUAAAGGAAAGAUCCCUUGAGAACAUCAUGAGAGUCCGAGUCCACAUGCAAAGGAACAACAUAUGCUGCCACAAAUGCAGGCCGUCAGCAAGGAUGCUCUCAUUGUUCACCGCUGACAUCUACUCAGCACAACAGGCUGAGAUACAUCAGGACAACCCUCCGAUCUAAAAGUAGAGGAAGCAGACUGUAAAUGUUCAAUUUGAUGUGAAUAGUUUUGAUCUGUGGAACAAAAAAUAACAGACAGAGUGGUAGUUCACAGAAGGAGAAUAGUGCUCUGGAUACGGGCAGAGCCCACAAUAUAAAAGCAGGGAGCACCAACUUGUAUUGGGAUCACGAGGCUUUUUCACCCUUUGGCCCCUCACUGACUGGAGCACUGUUGCUGAGUGUACCCUAAAGUCCAAAAAAUGGCUUCAACCUGGUAAUGGGGCUACUGGUUGGCCUAACCCAGCACUUCAACCUGGCAGUGGGGCUCCUGGUUGGUCUAACCCAGCACUUUGUGGGUGAGCAGAACACACACAGACACUUCCUUCAGUCAUCUGUCUGUAAAGUCUCAUUCCCCCUGUUUAUCUAACUCACCCCUCAUUAUAUCUCUGUCUGUUCCGCUACUCUCUGUAGAGUAACAUAUGGGGAAUGGCAGCAGCAGCAGCAACUUGUAUGGGGAUCACCUCAUCAUCUAUGGAGGGCUACUACCAAACCAGCACUACUGUUUUGGAAGCUUUAAGAGCAAACCUCAGGACUGAUAGACCCAUAAAGAGACCCAUAAAGACCCAUAAUGAUUGUGGAAGUUCAAGAGGUAAAUGUGGAGCUGAGCUGUCAUCUGCUGAAGGGACCACCAAUAGUAUCUACUGGUGGCACUGGUACUAAACCCUAUAAAUCCCAGCAAUCCUC